rnacentral:rRNA from 1 species
UAGGGAAUCUUCCGCAAUGGACGCAAGUCUGACGGAGCAACGCCGCGUGAGUGAAGAAGGAUUUCGGUUCGUAAAACUCUGUUGUUAGAGAAGAACAGCGCAUAGAGUAACUGUUAUGCGUGUGACGGUAUCUAACCAGAAAGCCACGGCUAACUACGUGCCAGCAGCCGCGGUAAUACGUAGGUGGCAAGCGUUGUCCGGAAUUACUGGGCGUAAAGGGUUCGCAGGCGGCAUGACAAGUCCGAUGUAAAAGGCGAAAGCUCAACUUUCGUAAGCAUCGGAAACUGUCAAGCUUGAGUGAAGGAGAGGCAAGUGGAAUUCCUAGUGUAGCGGUGGAAUGCGUAGAUAUUAGGAGGAAUACCGGUGGCGAAGGCGACUUGCUGGACUUCAACUGACGCUGAGGUUCGAAAGCGUGGGUAGCAAACAGG